UUCGUAGGUGGUGCGGCAAGUUGGGAGUGAAAUCUCUGGGCUUAACUCAGAGGCUGCUUUCAAAACUGCCGCGCUCGAGUGCGAGAGAGGUCAGUGGAAUUGCAGGUGUAGCGGUGAAAUGCGUAGAUAUCUGCAGGAACACCCGUGGCGAAGGCGGCUGACUGGAUCGCAACUGACACUGAGGAACGAAAGCUAGGGGAGCAAACAGGAUUAGAUACCCUGGUAGUCCUAGCCCUAAACCAUCAGAACUUGGGGUGGCCCGCGUAGGCGGGUCGUCCCGUAGCUAACGCGUUAAGUUCUGCGCCUGGGAGUACGGUCGCAAGACUGAA
rnacentral:rRNA from 1 species